AGGGUUUGAUCAUGGCUCAGGAUGAACGCUGGCGGCGUGCCUAAUACAUGCAAGUCGAACGAGGCCCUCUUCCUUCGGGAGGAGGUGUCCUAGUGGCGAACGGGUGAGUAACACGUUGGUGACCUACCCCGAAGAGGGGGACAACCCCGGGAAACUGGGGCUAAUACCCCAUGUGAUCCUAAGGAUUAGAUGCCUAAGGAUGAAAUGGAGCAAUUCGCUUCGGGAGGGGCCUGCGGCCUAUCAGCUAGUUGGUGAGGUAAUGGCUCACCAAGGCGACGACGGGUAGGGGACCUGAGAGGGUGACCCCCCACACUGGAACUGAAACACGGACCAGACACCUACGGGUGGCAGCAGUAGGGAAUAUUGCACAAUAGGCGAAAGCCUGAUGCAGCAACGCCGCGUGCGCGAUGAAGGCCUUAGGGUUGUAAAGCGCUUUUCUGGGGGAAGAGAAAGGACGGUACCCCAGGAAUAAGUCUCGGCUAACUACGUGCCAGCAGCCGCGGUAAAACGUAGGAGGCGAGCGUUAUCCGGAUUUACUGGGCGUAAAGCGCGUGCAGGCGGUUUGGUAAGUCGGACGUGAAAGCUCCCGGCUCAACUGGGAGAGGCCGUUCGAAACUACCAGGACUAGAGGGCAGCAGAGGGAGGUGGAAUUCCAGGUGUAGCGGUGAAAUGCGUAGAUAUCUGGAGGAACACCAGUGGCGAAGGCGGCCUCCUGGACUGUCCCUGACGCUAAGACGCGAAAGCUAGGGGAGCGAACGGGAUUAGAAA
rnacentral:rRNA from 1 species